CUUGGUUCGAAUCAUAGUAGGGGUAUGGAUGAUUUUAUUUUAAUGGUUUCAACUCUGCUAUUAAGAUGGUGGAGUUGGUGUGGGUUUUGAACUCUUAGAAAGUGGGUAGUUAUUAGAUGGUAAGUUUUGGAUAUUGUGGGAUUUUAUUUUUGAUUUAUUCUAUUUUAUUGUUUAAAAUAAUUAAUUGGUGGUUAUUUUGUUAUUUCUUUUUUUAUUUUAUUUUUAAUUUUCCCAAAAUUACCUCCGCACAAGUCACGUUCUUUUUUGUUGUUUUCCUCUUCUCUCAACUUCCACACACAUUCUUAUCUUUCUUUUUGCUUCAAAUGAU
rnacentral:lncRNA from 1 species